rnacentral:lncRNA from 1 species
UUCUUCUGCACCCACCGAGCCAGGCAGAGGCCAGUCCUCCGUGGUGCAAACAGCAUGCACCUCAGUCCAUCCCAUUUUAGUCUUUAAACCCUCAGGAAAUCACAGUCUCCGGACAUCACACCACAUGAGCCCAACAGGUCCAUGACGGAUCCACCAGUCCCGCCCCAGCCUUUUCCUUUCAUCUGAACAGAACGUGCAUUUUUGGAAGCCUCCCUCACUCUCCACACUGGCAGAGCAGGAGGGAGACUGAAGUAAGAGAUGGCAGAGGGAGAUGGUGGCAAAAAGGUUUAGAUGCAGGAGGACAGUAAGACUGACGGUUCUGGCCAGAGUAGAUGUGGGGAGGAACAGAGGGCUGAAGGGACUGUUCCAUUGCUGCUGCUUUGUGCUAGCUUUGGCACAAAGCAGCAGAACGGGGAAAAAGCCGAUAGAAACUUCUUUAGCUUCCCCACCCUGCAUGUUUUCUGGGAUUCGAGAGGAAAGAGAGGAAAAUGGGGGAAUGGGUUGCAAAAUAGAAAUGAACUUAAUCCAGGCCACAGAGCCAGGGAAGGUGGGUAACUUUAGGAGGAUGCUAGACUUUAGAAGCCAGAUAGGAAGAAUCAGUCGAAACUGGCCAUGCUUUGGAAGGGACAAGACUAUGCGCUCCACUGCCCACCUUCAGCCUGCAAGGAGGAAUGGAGGCCCACGAAAAGAGUCUUUCCGGCUCUUCCUCCAUUCUGGCCAGUCCCUGCGUCCUCCCUGGGGUGGAGGAUGGAAGGAGGGCCAGAACAAGCAGGGAACGUAUGAUUCAGGGAUGCUGUCACUCGGCAGCCAUAUUCUGAACCAAGAAAACUCCCAUUCUCCAAUGACUUCCUCAACCCGUGGGUGGCCUUGUGACUGUUCUUUAGGGCUGAAGAUAUCCAGGAAAGGGGGCUUGGACACUGGCCAAGGAGACCCCUUCGUGCUGCGGACACAGCUCUCUUCACUCUUUGCUCAUGGCAUGACACAGUGGAGACUGCCUCCAACAAUGAAUUUGGGGCUACGAAGAGGAAUAGUGAAAAAGCAAAUCUGUUUCAACUGAUGGAAACCCUAUAGCUAUAGAACUUGGGGGCUAUGUCCUAUGCCCCUGGACAGGACAGCUGACUGGGGACAGGAGAAGUGCUCAAUCUUCAUGAGACAAAGGGGCCCGAUCGGGCCAGCAGCCAC